CCUACGGGUGGCUGCAGUGGGGAAUAUUGCACAAUGGGCGCAAGCCUGAUGCAGCCAUGCCGCGUGUGUGAAGAAGGCCUUCGGGUUGUAAAGCACUUUCAGCGGGGAGGAAGGCGUUAAGGUUAAUAACCUUGGCGAUUGACGUUACCCGCAGAAGAAGCACCGGCUAACUCCGUGCCAGCAGCCGCGGUAAUACGGAGGGUGCAAGCGUUAAUCGGAAUUACUGGGCGUAAAGCGCACGCAGGCGGUCUGUCAAGUCGGAUGUGAAAUCCCCGGGCUCAACCUGGGAACUGCAUUCGAAACUGGCAGGCUAGAGUCUUGUAGGGGGGGGUAGAAUUCCAGGUGUAGCGGUGAAAUGCGUAGAGAUCUGGAGGAAUACCGGUGGCGAAGGCGGCCCCCUGGACAAAGACUGACGCUCAGGUGCGAAAGCGUGGGGAGCAAACAGGAUUAGAUACCCUAGUAGUC
rnacentral:rRNA from 1 species